UGAUACGAGGGUCAAAAGGUUAUGCGUUUCAUGCUUGCAUGAAAAAGCAUAACUUUGGGACCCCUAAAACAUGAGAAUGCAACCCGAUUAGGGUGGAAUUCUCAUGUUUUUAGGAUUGUUAGAGCACGUAGUGCGUAACAAUCCGUACGUAUCA
rnacentral:sRNA from 1 species